rnacentral:rRNA from 1 species
CUACGGGACGCUGCAGUGGGGAAUAUUGGACAAUGGGGGAAACCCUGAUCCAGCAAUGCCGCGUGUGUGAAGAAGGCCUGCGGGUUGUAAAGCACUUUCGGUUGGGAGGACUGCUUCUAGCACUAAUAUUGUUGGAAGUUGACGUUACCUUCAGAAGAAGCACCGGCUAACUCCGUGCCAGCAGCCGCGGUAAUACGGAGGGUGCAUGCGUUAAUCGGAAUUACUGGGCGUAAAGCGCGCGUAGGCGGCUAGAUCAGUCGGGUGUGAAAGCCCCGGGCUUAACCUGGGAACUGCAUCCGAUACUGUCUAGCUUGAGUACAGGAGAGGAGAGUGGAAUUCCACAUGUAGCGGUGAAAUGCGUAGAUAUGUGGAGGAACACCUAUGGCGAAGGCAGCUCUCUGGCCUGAUACUGACGCUGAGGUGCGAAAGCGUGGGGAGCAAACAGGAUUAGAUACCCCGGUAGUC